rnacentral:rRNA from 1 species
UGAGGAAUAUUGGGUCAAUGGGCGGAAGCCUGAACCAGCCAAGUAGCGUGCAGGACGACGGCCCUAUGGGUUGUAAACUGCUUUUAUGCGGGGAUAAAGUGGGCCACGCGUGGCCUUUUGCAGGUACCGCAUGAAUAAGGACCGGCUAAUUCCGUGCCAGCAGCCGCGGUAAUACGGAAGGUCCGGGCGUUAUCCGGAUUUAUUGGGUUUAAAGGGAGCGUAGGCCGGAGAUUAAGCGUGUUGUGAAAUGUAGAUGCUCAACAUCUGCACUGCAGCGCGAACUGGUUUCCUUGAGUACGCACAAAGUGGGCGGAAUUCGUGGUGUAGCGGUGAAAUGCUUAGAUAUCACGAAGAACUCCGAUUGCGAAGGCAGCUCACUGGAGCGCAACUGACGCUGAAGCUCGAAAGUGCGGGUAUCGAACAGGAUUAGAUACCCUGGUAGU